GGGAAUCUUGCGCAAUGGGCGAAAGCCUGACGCAGCCAUGCCGCGUGAAUGAUGAAGGUCUUAGGAUUGUAAAAUUCUUUCACCGGGGACGAUAAUGACGGUACCCGGAGAAGAAGCCCCGGCUAACUUCGUGCCAGCAGCCGCGGUAAUACGAAGGGGGCUAGCGUUGCUCGGAAUUACUGGGCGUAAAGGGCGCGUAGGCGGACAGUUUAGUCAGAGGUGAAAGCCCAGGGCUCAACCUUGGAAUUGCCUUUAAUACUGGCUGGCUUGAGUACGGGAGAGGUGAGUGGAACUCCGAGUGUAGAGGUGAAAUUCUGAGAUAUUCGGAAGAACACCAGUGGCGAAGGCGACUCACUGGCCCGUUACUGACGCUGAGGCGCGAAAGCGUGGGGAGCAAACAGGAUUAGAAACCCCAGUAGUCC
rnacentral:rRNA from 1 species